ACGUAGGGCGCAAGCGUUAUCCGGAAUUAUUGGGCGUAAAGAGCUCGUAGGCGGUUUGUCGCGUCUGCCGUGAAAGUCCGGGGCUCAACUCCGGAUCUGCGGUGGGUACGGGCAGACUAGAGUGAUGUAGGGGAGACUGGAAUUCCUGGUGUAGCGGUGAAAUGCGCAGAUAUCAGGAGGAACACCGAUGGCGAAGGCAGGUCUCUGGGCAUUAACUGACGCUGAGGAGCGAAAGCAUGGGGAGCGAACAGGAUUAGAUACCCUGGUAGUCCAUGCCGUAAACGUUGGGCACUAGGUGUGGGGGACAUUCCACGUUUUCCGCGCCGUAGCUAACGCAUUAAGUGCCCCGCCUGGGGAGUACGGCCGCGAGGCUAAAACUCAAAGGAAUUGACGGGGGCCCGCACAAGCGGCGGAGCAUGCGGAUUAAUUCGAUGCAACGCGAAGAACCUUACCAAGGCUUGACAUGAACCGGUAACGCCUGGAGACAGGUGCCCCGCUUGCGGUCGGUUUACAGGCGGUGCAUGGUUGUCGUCAGCUCGUGUCGUGAGAUGUUGGGUUAAGUCCCGCAACGAGCGCAACCCUUGAUCUUAGUUGCCAGCAUUCAGUUGGGCACUCUAAGGUGACUGCCGGUGACAAAC
rnacentral:rRNA from 1 species